GGACCACAUAAGAAUUCAAUCUAUAUUAUUAUAUUCUCGUGGAUUGUAGGCUUGUUGAUCAUCGGCAUCAAUGUGUAUUAUCUAAGCACAGGCUUUGUCGGCUGGCUAAUUCACAACAAUCUACCCAAAGUUGGGAAUGUGUUUAUUGGGAUCAUAGUAUUUCCGCUAAUGGCAAUCUAUGUACUUGCAGUCAUCUACCUGACCUUUAGAAAAGACACUGUUGAGACAUUUAUUGAUCCAACAAAGAAUGACCCAGUUGUCCAAGCUAACAUGGAAAGUGGGACACGAAAAUCUGGAGAUGAACUAGAGGCGCAUCAGGUACCUUACAGAGAGGAUUUAGCUCAUGUCCCACUGCCAGAGUAGUAAGAUUUUCAUUUGCAUUACCGGGCAAAAAU
rnacentral:misc_RNA from 1 species